UACGUAGGUGGCAAGCGUUGUCCGGAUUUAUUGGGUUUAAAGGGUGCGUAGGCGGUUGAUUAAGUCAGUUGUGAAAUACGGCAGCUUAACUGUCGAGGUGCAAUUGAUACUGGUUGACUUGAGUACAGACGAGGUAGGCGGAAUUGACGGUGUAGCGGUGAAAUGCGUAGAUAUCUGCAGGAACACCCGUGGCGAAAGCGGCGCGCUGGACCACAACUGACGCUGAGGAGCGAAAGCGAGGGGAGCAAACAGG
rnacentral:rRNA from 1 species